GAUGAACGCUGGCGGCGUGCCUAAUACAUGCAAGUCGAGCGAACAGAUAAGGGGCUUGCUCCUUUGAAGUUAGCGGCGGACGGGUGAGUAACACGUGGGUAACCUACCUAUAAGACUGGGAUAACUUCGGGAAACCGGAGCUAAUACCGGAUAACAUUUAGAACCGCAUGGUUCUAAAGUGAAAGAUGGUUUUGCUAUCACUUAUAGAUGGACCCGCGCCGUAUUAGCUAGUUGGUAAGGUAACGGCUUACCAAGGCGACGAUACGUAGCCGACCUGAGAGGGUGAUCGGCCACACUGGAACCGAGACACGGUCCAGACUCCUACGGGAGGCAGCAGUAGGGAAUCUUCCGCAAUGGGCGAAAGCCUGACGGAGCAACGCCGCGUGAGUGAUGAAGGGUUUCGGCUCGUAAAACUCUGUUAUUAGGGAAGAACAAAUGUGUAAGUAACUGUGCACAUCUUGACGGUACCUAAUCAGAAAGCCACGGCUAACUACGUGCCAGCAGCCGCGGUAAUACGUAGGUGGCAAGCGUUAUCCGGAAUUAUUGGGCGUAAAGCGCGCGUAGGCGGUUUCUUAAGUCUGAUGUGAAAGCCCACGGCUCAACCGUGGAGGGUCAUUGGAAACUGGGAAACUUGAGUGCAGAAGAGGAAAGUGGAAUUCCAUGUGUAGCGGUGAAAUGCGCAGAGAUAUGGAGGAACACCAGUGGCGAAGGCGACUUUCUGGUCUGUAACUGACGCUGAUGUGCGAAAGCGUGGGGAUCAAACAGGAUUAGAUACCCUGGUAGUCCACGCCGUAAACGAUGAGUGCUAAGUGUUAGGGGUUUCCGCCCCUUAGUGCUGCAGCUAACGCAUUAAGCACUCCGCCUGGGGAGUACGACCGCAAGGUUGAAACUCAAAGGAAUUGACGGGGACCCGCACAAGCGGUGGAGCAUGUGGUUUAAUUCGAAGCAACGCGAAGAACCUUACCAAAUCUUGACAUCCUUUGAAAACUCUAGAGAUAGAGCCUUCCCCUUCGGGGGACAAAGUGACAGGUGGUGCAUGGUUGUCGUCAGCUCGUGUCGUGAGAUGUUGGGUUAAGUCCCGCAACGAGCGCAACCCUUAAGCUUAGUUGCCAUCAUUAAGUUGGGCACUCUAGGUUGACUGCCGGUGACAAACCGGAGGAAGGUGGGGAUGACGUCAAAUCAUCAUGCCCCUUAUGAUUUGGGCUACACACGUGCUACAAUGGACAAUACAAAGGGCAGCUAAACCGCGAGGUCAUGCAAAUCCCAUAAAGUUGUUCUCAGUUCGGAUUGUAGUCUGCAACUCGACUACAUGAAGCUGGAAUCGCUAGUAAUCGUAGAUCAGCAUGCUACGGUGAAUACGUUCCCGGGUCU
rnacentral:rRNA from 1 species